rnacentral:rRNA from 1 species
GGAAUAUUGCGCAAUGGACGAAAGUCUGACGCAGCAACGCCGCGUGCAGGAUGACGGCCCUCCGGGUUGUAAACUGCUGUAGCAGGGGAAUAACACUCGCUUUUAGCGAGUUGAAGGUACCCUGGAAGUAAGCCCCGGCUAACUACGUGCCAGCAGCCGCGGUAAUACGUAGGGAGCAAGCGUUGUCCGGAUUCACUGGGUGUAAAGGGUGCGCAGGCGGGUUGGUAAGUCAGAGGUGAAAGCUCACGGCUCAACCGUGAAACUGCCUUUGAAACUACCAAUCUUGAGUUCGGGAGAGGUCGAUGGAAUUCCAGGUGUAGCGGUGAAAUGCGUAGAUAUCUGGAAGAACACCAGUAGCGAAGGCGGUCGACUGGCCCGUAACUGACGCUCAGGCACGAAAGCAUGGGGAGCG